GACGAACGCUGGCGGCGUGCCUAAUACAUGCAAGUGGGACGCAAGGAAACACACUGUGCUUGCACACCGUGUUUUCUUGAGUCGCGAACGGGUGAGUAACGCGUAGGUAACCUGCCUAUUAGCGGGGGAUAACUAUUGGAAACGAUAGCUAAUACCGCAUAAUAUUAAUUAUUGCAUGAUAAUUGAUUGAAAGAUGCAAGCGCAUCACUAGUAGAUGGACCUGCGUUGUAUUAGCUAGUUGGUAAGGUAAGAGCUUACCAAGGCGACGAUACAUAGCCGACCUGAGAGGGUGAUCGGCCACACUGGGACUGAGACACGGCCCAGACUCCUACGGGAGGCAGCAGUAGGGAAUCUUCGGCAAUGGACGAAAGUCUGACCGAGCAACGCCGCGUGAGUGAAGAAGGUUUUCGGAUCGUAAAGCUCUGUUGUAAGUCAAGAACGUGUGUGAGAGUGGAAAGUUCACACAGUGACGGUAGCUUACCAGAAAGGGACGGCUAACUACGUG
rnacentral:rRNA from 1 species